ensembl:lncRNA
UCUGGAACUGUUGUAUUUCUUUUAAUAUGAAGGGAUCUUUUUUUUUUUUUUUUUUUUUUUUUUUUUUUUUUUUUUUUUUUUUUAAUUUAGGAGAAAACAACUUUGCAAUAGACCUUCAGAUAAAUUGCCUCAGUCCAGAUCAGAAUUUACAUAAACCUAUGUUUAUAGGCUGACACUGGCUUUUGGACAGACAUAACAUUUUAUCUAUAAUUGAUUGAUACAGACUGGUCACUAGACUGACAUGGAUUUUUUGCUGGCAGGAUUUUGUUAAUGAUAUUUCUGUACAGUGUCUAACACAACUGGACCUCAACUUGCCUGAAAUAUCAAUGGAAAACAUCAACAUUAAGGUAACAAUAAGGUAAUAAAGCAGAGCAGAAUCAUUCUGUGAGCCCAAAGAAAAGCCAACUGUACUGCUGAAAUAUAAUUUCAGUAUUAGAUAAUAUCAGUUGCAAAAAGCAGAAAGAAAUGCAAAUUUUAUUCAGUAACAUUGAUUUCCAUUGGACUCGCUUGAUAUCUUUGAUAUGAAUAAUUAUUCCUCCUUUAACCUUUAAACAUACAUUGAUGGCACUCAUUAGCUCAAACCAACUUUGUUCAUCCUGUGCUUACUUUUAUGAACUUUACACAGCCUAGCUCAGCAUCCAGUUUAAUGAAGAAGUAAUGCGGUUUAAGGGCUAAGUGACAUCCAAAUGGGCAGGCUUGUUCCCCUCUGCCACCUCUUCCCCUUGGCCUGGACAAGUUCUCCAGCCACCUUCUCUGUGCUGACACUGACACAUGACAAAUCCCUUUAGUGGAGCUAAAGCACCAGAAAAUUACCACUUGUUUAGCAGAAUUAGAUUUUUUCCACUCUAUCUCCAUGGACUACAUGGUCACACAAAAGGUGAUGCUGAUGAAAAGACAACAAGAGCUCAUGAAUGAAGCAAGUGAAGAAGGAAUGGCAGAAGAAUUCUGCCACUUUCAGUGGCAACUGGCCCUUGGAUCAGCACAGGUGUAACUUCAAGCUACACUUUUCAGUUCAGACUGACGAGACAAAUGUUUUCCUUGAGGUAAGACUGAAAAAUACUUAAUAUUUUAUAAUAUAAUAAUAUUAUAUUAUAUAUAAUAUAUAAUACAUUAUUUCAUUAUAGUAUUGUUUUAUAUUAUGAAUUAUUUCAUAAUUAAUUACUUAAUUACAUUACAUUAUAUUAUAUUAUUUCAUGAAAUGAAAUAUUUUGAGCUACAGCACAUAGAUUCUUUCCUGCAGUACUAAAAAGACCUUACUUCUUGUUGUCACACUUAGAAAGUACUUUAGUCUUUAAAAGAAUGCACAUAAUAGAAAUAUGUUAAUCAAAAUUAUGAGAAAUUAUAAAAUAUAUCCUCUAAGAAAAUAAGCAAAAAGCCAAUUAGUCCAACACUUUUCUUCAACAAACAUGUGGAAACAUAUCCAAUUAUUUUGGAAAGCAUCAAUUACAAUUAAAUGAAUAAUCUAAAUAUCAGAAUUAAAUAGUUCAUUUUAUAAUUACCUUUCUCAGGAAGCUGGCUGUAACAUAAGCUAUGAAAUGAUGACAACCUGUUAUGUUUGCAAGCUUUAUCCACACCACAGUUGUUGUUCCCUUGGAUUUGUGUCUAUUGCACCUUGCAUUAGCAAGUAACAAAAGUGACAUUAAACAGACCCAUUUCUGAUAAGGGUAUUCAAACACCUGAAUAUUUGGUUUAAAUACGUCAGAAUAAAUAUCAAGAUGUACCAAAAAAGGAGUCUUAUUCAAUCUAUUCAUCACAGGAAUUUAAAAAAAGGAGAAAUACAACACAACAUGUGUCUCUACACACAUGGGUAGCAGCACAUGACUGUGCAGGAUGUGAACAUAUGCACAAGAGGCAGAAGAAGAAAACAGAUCCUUUUGCUGGAAAAACCCAUGUGAAGUACAGGCACAGCUGCAAUGCAACCCUGAGAGUGAUGGACAUGAAAACUGCUCUGUGUUUCAUGAGAGGCAUGAAAAAAGGCAAGGAAAAUGGUACUCUGCUUUCAGAGGUGCAGAAGGACAUUGAGAACAAGGUGUACCACAGAGUUUCUUACAGCUUCACAGAGCAUGAGGGAAUUCAUUGUUAAUGAAUUCUGCUGAGCCUACAUGACAAAACCAGGAUUGAAAUUACAAAAUCUGAAUGCAGUUACUGCAGCUUGCACUGGCAUAGAGCUGGGAAAUAAACCAAUCUGGUUUUUACGUAUGUAAAACCUAAACUUGCAGAGCUGGACCUUGACUUCUGACAGAAUAAAUGAGAUUCCUUAUGAUGAUCAUGAGGCCUCAGCAGGAAGGGCAUGGUGGUACCAGCCUAAAUGUGCUACCUUUUCCAUCAAGAAGCACUUAGAAUGUGAAUGAGGCAUGAGAAUAUCCCAAAGGAAAUCCCAUUAUGACGAAAAUGGGGAUCAGAACAUACCAUUCUGACAAAAUGUGGCCAAGUAAUGGUAGUUCACUGAUGAAUGAGGCCCUCAUUUUCAAACAAUAGUGUGCUGGUAACUCCAGAUUGUUAGGCCAGUACAAAAUUUAUUCCCUAUAUGAUAAAUACACAUCCUGGAGGAUUUAACACCUGAAGGUUUUCUCUACACUAGUGCUGUUUCUUGUCACCCUUUUAUUCUACCACUGCUCACUACCAGAGACAGAAAGCUAAGUACAUGUUUAACCCUGGCUUUGUGCUCAUAGAAGAAACCACAUUAAUACAGGAGAUGGUUGCGAAGUUUUCCACCAUGAGAAAACACUCCAACCCUAUUCUUUCCUACUAACAUUGGAAGAUAAAAUAUAAUAAUAAAGUGAGUUUUCAAAUGCAAUUUGUUAAAAUUGUCCAAUUUGCAAAGUCAAACAUUGAAAAUUAAGAUAAAAAUACAGUCUUGCACCUGCAGUUUUUAUUUUACUUCAAAUUCAUGAACUCUGAUAAACUUAGCAACAUAAUAAUUUUUUGUUAUGGUUCAUCCCAUUUGCUCACUUCUCUGUGCCAGAACAUGCAGGGAAAUUAGAAAUAAGAAUGAAUUGUCUCAUGGGUGAGGUCUGCCAUCCCAAAUAAAUGGUAUAUUUAAUUUCCAGUCUUAGAAGACUAAAGUGAUAUUGAAUAACUCAUCUCAACCAAAUUUUCUCAGGAAAAACACAAACAAUGGCUAUACUGCCUAAACACCUGAUUUGGAGAAUCUGUGAUCUGUUUUUUAUAAUUUUUCCACUAACUGUAAAUUAAUAAAAACAAGUAAUGCAAAUUACAGGAGCUGCAUAUUGCAAAGUUCAAAUAAUGUGUAAAUACAUAUGGCAAAAAGUUGGAGACUAAUAGGUAAAAUCCAGUGUUACUGUUGCUACAUUAAUUAAAGGGACGGGACUAAAACUGGGCUAAAGAUGAUUUAUUGUUAAAAUAAACAGCCUCCGAGGCUGUGAGAUUUUGAGACAGCAAGCAUUUGGCCAUAGCUCAAGAUAGUCACAGGUUCUUUAUUCUAAGGCAAUAUAGAACUUUCUAACCCAAUAGGCUGAUGCCACAGAGUUUAUUUUGCUUUUCUGACCUACCACCUUUACUUAUUUCUACUGCAAUGUGGAUACUUUUGUCCAAUGUGCUGCCACUAGACAUAUGCACAUAUACCUCUAUAACAUCUAAACUCUUAACUUACUCUAUACAAUCACAUUACUACACUACAAAACCCUUCAUCAUCAAGUUUUUUUACUUAAUGCAUAUUCUUACUUAUAACUAUAGAAUCAUAAGUUCAUUAUUUUUCUAUUCAGUGUCUGUGUACCUUGCUUUCACAUCCAUCUAGGCUUCUUCUAAGGCUGCAAAUCAAACCCUCUUGAGUCUGAGAAGAUUUCUCUCUUUCCAACUCCCACAACCCAGGAUAAAUUUGGAAGGCUAAAAAAGAGAGGUCAAUAAUUUGCCACAGGGCACAAGAGCCAUGCUGCUCAGUGCUAGUAAAGCAAGGGAAAGUAAGAGUAUCUUUUUACUUCCCUCAGUUAAUGCAUGCCUGGUUUAGACUGAUUGACACUGCACUUUAAAGACAAAAACUAAGUCAUGAAAUCUUUCAAAUUAUCAUAUUUGACUGAAUUUUCAUCCAUUGAUUUUACUCCACCUGCAGUACAUUAGACAAGGUAAUAAUUUAUGAUAAUUAUAUGAAAAUAUACAAUUAAUAUUCAUCACCUCUCAUUUCUCAUCACUUUAGAUGAUCAGUAAUGCAGAGUAAAAAUGCUGUCAGAUUUCUAAUUGCUUUGUAAUGGGCCUGAAAUAGGGAAAUCGUUAAAGACAAACAAUCUGUCACUUGUCUGUUACCUUAACUAUCUAUCACUUAAAAAAACCCUCAUUAAAUACAUUGCUAAUGAAUGACAAAAGACUGUACUCAGUGUGCCCAUAUGUACCUUUUUGAACAAUAUUGUAAAUUGCUUAAAUAAUUCCCAAGACGUUUUCAAUCAUUUCUGUGGAAAUUUAAUGGAAAACAUAUAUUUUCCGUGCAUGUUACAUCUCAUUUGUUCACAUCAUUAUGACAUUUAGUCUAUCAUAUGCACAUCUCCUGGGAGACAAAACUUUUUCUUUUUACUGUUGAUAAAUCUGAUCCGAUUAAAAUAAAUUCUGAAAGAACUCAGCAUUGAGAUCUCUGACCCCUUUAUCUUAAAAAAGAAAAAAGGAAAAAGAAUCCAUUUAUAAUUUUUAAAUAAUCCUAUCUCUUCCAAGGAUUUUUAAUAUCGAGAUUAAAAAAGAUUGCUCAAAAUUGAACAAAUUAUUUUAUCUCAAUUGUUCUGAAGAGACAAAACUCAGACAUUCACUUUUAUCACCCUUUUGAGUCAGCUGUCUACUACAGCUCUGACAGAAAAAAACACUUGAAAAAAAUUCUUCUCACUGUACUGACUGAAGAGCCAGGAUGAAUAAAGCACAUUAGAAGUAUCAAUGAGACCCCAUAAUGAAAUCUUGUACUAUUUGCCGCAUUAAUUAAUUGCUGAUAUUAACUGUCACAUUAAAGCAUUGAAAAGAUAAAGACAACAACUGCAAAAAAAUAUUAAAGACAAAAUAAUCAUCUUUGCAUGAAUUAAACAUGCUCAAUCUCUUAAAUUUAUCAAAGCCCAAUCAAUAUUCAGUGCUUAUUUAUGAUGCUGAAAGGGGUGUAGAUCAGAUAAUAGGAAGGAAUUGUUCCCUGGAGGGUGGGCAGGCCCUGGCACAGGGUGCCCGGAGAAGCUGUGGCUGCCUCUGGAUCCCUGAAUUGUCCAAGGCCAAGCUGGAUGAGCAGCCUGGGAUAGUGGAAGGUUCCCUCCUCAUUGCAGGGGGUUGGAACUGGACGAUCUUUAAAGUCCUUCCCACCCCAAACUAUUCUGGGACCCUUUAUGUAGCAAGCAAUAUGAACCAAAAAAAAAAAAAAAAAAAAAAAAAAAAAAA